rnacentral:rRNA from 1 species
AGAGUUUGAUCCUGGCUCAGGAUGAACGCUAGCGGCAGGCUUAACACAUGCAAGUCGAGGGGUAUAGUUCUUCGGAACUAGAGACCGGCGCACGGGUGCGUAACGCGUAUGCAAUCUACCUUUUGCAGAGGGAUAGCCCAGAGAAAUUUGGAUUAAUACCCCAUAGUAUGUGAGAAUGGCAUCAUUUUCACAUUAAAGUCACAACGGCAAAAGAUGAGCAUGCGUCCCAUUAGCUAGUUGGUAAGGUAACGGCUUACCAAGGCAACGAUGGGUAGGGGUCCUGAGAGGGAGAUCCCCCACACUGGUACUGAGACACGGACCAGACUCCUACGGGAGGCAGCAGUGAGGAAUAUUGGACAAUGGGCGCAAGCCUGAUCCAGCCAUGCCGCGUGCAGGAUGACGGUCCUAUGGAUUGUAAACUGCUUUUGUACAGGAAGAAACACUGGUUCGUGAACCAGCUUGACGGUACUGUAAGAAUAAGGAUCGGCUAACUCCGUGCCAGCAGCCGCGGUAAUACGGAGGAUCCAAGCGUUAUCCGGAAUCAUUGGGUUUAAAGGGUCCGUAGGCGGUUUAGUAAGUCAGUGGUGAAAGCCCAUCGCUCAACGGUGGAACGGCCAUUGAUACUGCUAGACUUGAAUUAUUAGGAAGUAACUAGAAUAUGUAGUGUAGCGGUGAAAUGCGUAGA